rnacentral:rRNA from 1 species
AUUGAACGCUGGCGGCAUGCCUUACACAUGCAAGUCGAACGGCAGCACGGGUGCUUGCACCUGGUGGCGAGUGGCGAACGGGUGAGUAAUGCAUCGGAACGUACCCGGAAGUGGGGGAUAACGUAGCGAAAGUUACGCUAAUACCGCAUAUUCUGUGAGCAGGAAAGGGGGGGAUCGCAAGACCUCUCGCUUUCGGAGCGGCCGAUGUCGGAUUAGCUAGUUGGUAGGGUAAAAGCCUACCAAGGCGACGAUCCGUAGCUGGUCUGAGAGGACGACCAGCCACACUGGGACUGAGACACGGCCCAGACUCCUACGGGAGGCAGCAGUGGGGAAUUUUGGACAAUGGGGGAAACCCUGAUCCAGCCAUGCCGCGUGAGUGAAGAAGGCCUUCGGGUUGUAAAGCUCUUUCAGACGGAAAGAAAUCUUCCGGGCUAAUACCUCGGGAGGAUGACGGUACCGUAAGAAGAAGCACCGGCUAACUACGUGCCAGCCGCCGCCGUAA